AUGCUAGCCAUUACUAUUAAUUUCUUGAUCCCUCUUUGUAAAUACAAAAUGGGGUUGGAUCAUUGUAAUGAUGCAAGAAUUAUUAAUGAUGCAUUUAUAGGGUUGGAUCAUUGUAAGAAAAAGAAGUUACAAGGGAUGAAGGAAGGACCUAAUUGCUUUGGCCAAUUGGAAUAUCCAAUAUGAUAUAGGGCAUAAGAUCAUGAAUGCAUAUGCCAUAAUAUAAUGUGUAUAUUUUUAUUCCAUAGGCAAAUUAAGCAGAUAGGUUCUCUUCCCUUGGCAAUUUGCUAGGGAAUUGACAUCCCUUUGUAGAAUUAUUUUUAGAGCAAUGUAUUUGGUACAAUUAUUGUAUAAUAUUAAAAAUAUUCAUUUUGAAUUUAUUCUUGUUCUUGUGCAUUAUUUAUUGAGCUAUAGUAUUUUACUUUAUAAACAAUUGGGUUGCUCCUUUCUAUUAUCUAGAUUUUUGGAUGAUAGUUGUGGCAAGGACAGGUUGCAAAUAUGAUAUCAGAUUGAAAAAUGGUUAAUUUCCCUAAUAUAGUUUGCCAAAAUGUGUUCUAAUUAAGCACAUAAAAUUAAUCCAAGACAUAUAGGAUGAUUAUCUAUACAAAACUCUUCUACAAAGACAGAAAAUUAAAUUGUUAAAAUAUAGAAUAAAUGACACUCCAUUACGAGCCACAUAUGUUGGUAGAGUGCUUAAUAACUUAAAUCUAGAAAGAAAAAAAAGUGUCAAAUUUUUGUAACUAAAAAAGUUUCGCGUGUAAUAUUAUCUAGUAUAAACAAAAAUACAAAAAUACUUGCGAUGUUCUCUCUAUGCUAAAUCCUAAUAUUUGGGCCAUUGGAAAAUUGAAAGUUGUAGCAAAGCUGGCCUCAAAUUGCUUUCUUCAAACUUCAAAGCGAAGUAACCAAGUUGUUUUCAAUUAGAAAAGAAACUCCUUUCACAAAAGUUGCUAAAAGAAUAAUAGAAUAUAUUUUUUAAACAAUCUUAUAAUCACCUUUCUUUCUUGUUGCAUGUCACACAAUAAAGUGAUCCAUUUUUUUUUGGUAAAGUAUAGAUAAAUAAUUCUUAACUAACCAACUUUAAACAACUGUCAUUAAUAAUUAUUAAUUUUAUAUUUUUAUAACAAUUUGAAAAAUUAGAAUUAUCACUUAAAGACAAAUUGACUAAUUGGGUGUUAGUUAUUUAGCAAAAUUCUUUUUUUUUUGCACACGGUACCUCCAAUCCGACUUGUUCACUUUGCGGACAGGAGAAGCAUCGAUUCAUUUUUUUUUGGAAUAACAUACACAAUAAAGGCGUGGAAUAAUUUUAGGGACACAUUCUUAAGCACUUAUUCUACUUCUUGUGGUUUCCGUUUUCAAUUAAAUAAUGCCUUGUGUAAUGAAGCUAUGUAACAAUGCUCCUGAACAAAUUCUUAAAAAUAGAAGGAAUUGGAGGUAAUUUUAGUUAUGAAAUGCAAACCUGAAUUUACCUAAAUUACAAAGGACUUUUUUUAAUUGUUAUGCACAUGUUGAGGGACCAUGUUUCAAAUAAGAUUAGUGUCACAUUUCACAAACAAAAACAAUACCAACUUUUUGGACAAAAAUCAUAAGCUGGUUUGCUACGAUACGAUGAUAAAUUCAUACAUACCGAUAUAUUUAAAAUAUGGACAAGUAAUAAUAAGGUAUGUGGAAUUUAUUUUCCACAUCAACAUUUAAUUUUUUUUUUAAAUAUAUAUUAUAUCACCACUUUUACUAAAACAUCCUUUUAAUUAAAUAAAAAUAAAAAAUAUUUAUUUAUUUAAUUUUAUAAAAAGACUUAAAUACCUUUUUUUUGUAUAUAUUAGACAAAAAUUAUUCUUUUAGAUUAAUUAAAUUGUUUAAUUUUAUAAUUUUAAAAUUUAAAUAAUCUAAAAAACAAAAAUAAAAACAAAAAUAUAUGAGGCCACAGCACAAGCAUGUGUUAGCAUCCCUUCCAAUCCAUGGAGUUCUCUUGAGAGGGGUUUUAGUGCAUAAUUCAUAAGAUAAUGCACUAAUGAAGAUUAAUCUAUUAUUAGUGUUUACAUUAUCAUAUCUUUUAUGCUAGCCAUUACUAUUAAUUUCUUGAUCCCUCUUUGUAAAUACAAAAUGGGGUUGGAUCAUUGUAAUGAUGCAAGAAUUAUUAAUGAUGCAUUUAUAGGGUUGGAUCAUUGUAAGAAAAAGAAGUUACAAGGGAUGAAGGAAGGACCUAAUUGCUUUGGCCAAUUGGAAUAUCCAAUAUGAUAUAGGGCAUAAGAUCAUGAAUGCAUAUGCCAUAAUAUAAUGUGUAUAUUUUUAUUCCAUAGGC
rnacentral:lncRNA from 1 species